rnacentral:rRNA from 1 species
GACGAACGCUGGCGGCGUGCUUAACACAUGCAAGUCGAACGGAAAGGCCCUGCUUUUGUGGGGUGCUCGAGUGGCGAACGGGUGAGUAACACGUGAGUAACCUGCCCUUGACUUUGGGAUAACUUCAGGAAACUGGGGCUAAUACCGGAUAGGAGCUCCUGCUGCAUGGUGGGGGUUGGAAAGUUUCGGCGGUUGGGGAUGGACUCGCGGCUUAUCAGCUUGUUGGUGGGGUAGUGGCUUACCAAGGCUUUGACGGGUAGCCGGCCUGAGAGGGUGACCGGCCACAUUGGGACUGAGAUACGGCCCAGACUCCUACGGGAGGCAACAGUGGGGAAUAUGGCACAAUGGGCGGAAGCCGGAUGCAGCAACGCCGCGUGCGGGAUGACGGCCUUCGGGUUGUAAACCGCUUUCGCCUGUGACGAAGCGUGAGUGACGGUAAUGGGUAAAGAAGCACCGGCUAACUACGU